ACUGGGGGAGGCACCAGGAUUCUCACAGGUGCUCCCAGUUGUGGCACAGGUGAGAUGUCAACACCUGUGUGGUGGCACUGAGGGAGGGAAAUCUGCUGGGGUUGGGGCAGGACCCCCAGGGGUACAGAGGGCUCAGGUGAGCUCUGUGCUCACAGGUGGGGACACAGGCAAGAGCACAUGUGAGACGUGAGGAGGAGUCAGGUGAGGGCACAGGUGAGGGCACAGGUGAGGGAUCAGGUGAGGGCACAGGUGAUGGAUCAGGUGAGGGCACAGGUGAGGGAUCAGGUGAGGGCACAGGUGAGGGCACAGGUCAGGGCAGAGGUGAGGGAUCAGGUGAGGGCACAGGUCAGGGCAGAGGUGAGGGAUCAGGUGAGGGCACAGGUGAUCCCAGGAGGGAGUGAGGGAUGGGGCCAUCGGGUGCUCUGCUGCAAACAGCUGCCAGCACAUCCCCAUUUCCUGAGCCCCCAGGGGUGAUCCCAGAUUCCCCAGGGUGAUCCCAGGUUCCCAAUCCCCCAGGGUGAUCCCAGGUUCCCCAGGUGUGAUCCCAAUCCCCCAGGUGUGAUCCCAAUCCCCCAGGGUGAUCCCAGGUUCCCAAUCCCCCUCACCAAAGAAGGUGCCGGUGCUGCUGUCGCCGUCCUCGUGCUCGUGCUGGGGGUCCCGGCCGUGCUGGGACUCCUGGCACACGUAGAUGGUCAGGCGGGGCCGC